rnacentral:sRNA from 1 species
ACUCAACACUAACAAAUUAGAAUGAGCAAAUCAUCGUUACUAUAGUAUGCCCGUCUGGAAUGGGAAACUUGAACAACGAGUUAGCUCAAAACUUGUCUUUACGAGUUU